rnacentral:rRNA from 1 species
ACGGGAGGCAGCAGUGGGGAAUUUUGGACAAUGGGCGCAAGCCUGAUCCAGCCAUGCCGCGUGAGUGAAGAAGGCCUUCGGGUUGUAAAGCUCUUUCGGUGAAGACGAAACGGUUCGUGCUAACAACGCGAACUAAUGACGGUACUCACAGAAGAAGCACCGGCUAACUACGUGCCAGCAGCCGCGGUAAUACGUAGGGUGCAGGCGUUAAUCGGAAUUACUGGGCGUAAAGCGUGCGCAGGCGGCUCCUUAAGUCAGAUGUGAAAUCCCCGGGCUUAACCUGGGAACUGCGUUUGAAACUGGGGAGCUAGAGUGUGGAAGAGGGGGGUGGAAUUCCAGGUGUAGCAGUGAAAUGCGUAGAUAUCUGGAGGAACACCGAUGGCGAAGGCAGCCCCCUGGGCUAACACUGACGCUCAUGCACGAAAGCGUGGGGAGCAAACAGGAUUAGAUACCCUGGUA